UGAUAUGCCUAUUUCGCCAUU
ensembl:piRNA 21ur-1019 ncRNA